UACGUAGGGAGCAAGCGUUGUCCGGAAUCAUUGGGCGUAAAGCGCGCGUAGGCGGCCUUGUAAGUCCGUUGUGAAAGUCAAAGGCUCAACCUUUGAAAGCCGAUGGAUACUGCAAGGCUGGAGUCCGGAAGAGGCGAGUGGAAUUCAUGGUGUAGCGGUGGAAUGCGCAGAUAUCAGGAGGAACACCAAUAGCGAAGGCAGCUCGCUGGGACGGUACUGACGCUAAGGCGCGAAAGCGUGGGGAGCGAACAGG
rnacentral:rRNA from 1 species